GGUUGAGGAGAAGGUGAUGUGCUCCGCAGGCUGGAGGCGCGUGGAUGGAGUAGACCGAGGAGCGUGGGUUGGAAUCAAGGAGAGAGGUGUGUUGGUCCGAAUGGCACACACUUGGCAGCUGGGAGAGCAAAAGAGGGACUGAGAAUGUGCCACUGGAUCCUGCAGCUGCUACAGAGAUACCAACUGCAGAGAUUCAAUAUCACCCCUCCUAACACACGGGGACCAUCUUCCCUGCUGGUUGUAUCAAAAAGAGUCUGUGAAGAUGAAGAUGUUUAUAAGUGUAAACCUCUACACAAAAAUAAGAUAUCAUUUUUGCAGACAAGCCACAACAAAUGGCAGAAAUUCUCAAUUAAUGAGAACACUCUUUUGUGUGUACUAUUGCAGUUGGACUGCAGCUGAUGGCACGCAGCACCAGUCCUUUGGAAGAUGCCUCACUGAAGGGUAUCAGUUAGCUCUUGCUAACUUAGUUUAAAAUAAUAAAUAAUAAAUAUUCAUUCUUUUCA
rnacentral:lncRNA from 1 species